GACGAACGCUGGCGGCGUGCCUAAUACAUGCAAGUCGAGCGAAGUUUUUCUGGUGCUUGCACUAGAAAAACUUAGCGGCGAACGGGUGAGUAACACGUAAAGAACCUGCCUCAUAGACUAGGACAACUAUUGGAAACGAUAGCUAAUACCGGAUAACAGUAUUUCUCGCAUGAGAGAUAUUUAAAAGUUGGUUAUGCUAACACUAUGAGAUGGCUUUGCGGUGCAUUAGCUAGUUGGUGGGGUAAAGGCCCACCAAGGCGACGAUGCAUAGCCGACCUGAGAGGGUGAUCGGCCACACUGGGACUGAGACACGGCCCAGACUCCUACGGGAGGCAGCAGUAGGGAAUCUUCCGCAAAGGGCGAAAGCCUGACGGAGCAACGCCGCGUGAGUGAAGAAGGAUUUCGGUUCGUAAAGCUCUGUUGUUAGGGAAGAAUGGAUAUGUAGUAACUAUACAUGUAAGAGACGGUACCUAACCAGAAAGCCACGGCUAACUACGUG
rnacentral:rRNA from 1 species